CCCCCAGCCUCACGGGCAGAUGCUCAGCCCACUUUCCCCGACGCAGGCCUACGAGAAGCAGCGGGGCACCAGGCGCGAGGAGCAGAAGGAGCUUCAGCGGGCGGCCUCGCAGGACCAUGUGCGGGGAUUCCUGGAGAAGGAGUCGGCCAUCGUGAGCCGGCCCCUCAACCCUUUCACAGCCAAGGCCCUCUCGGGCACCAGCCCAGAUGAUGUCCAACCUGGGCCCAGUGUGGGUCCUCCAAGUAAGGACAAGGACAAAGUGCUGCCCAGCUUCUGGAUCCCGUCGCUGACACCCGAAGCCAAGGCCACCAAGCUGGAGAAGCCGGUGAGCCCCCACAGCGCCCCAGCACGCACUGUGCCAGGGCGCCAGGGUUCCCCACCGUCCUCACGCACAGGGACCACGCGCUCUCCACCUGCGCCAGCCCUGCCUACUGAGCCCGCCUCUCUGCCCCUUGCAGUCCCGCACGGUGACCUGCCCCAUGUCGGGGAAGCCCCUGCGCAUGUCGGACCUGACGCCCGUGCACUUCACACCGCUAGACAGCUCCGUGGACCGCGUGGGGCUCAUCACGCGCAGCGAGCGCUACGUGUGCGCCGUGACCCGCGACAGCCUGAGCAACGCCACCCCCUGCGCUGUGCUGCGGCCCUCUGGGGCAGUGGUCACCCUCGAAUGCGUGGAGAAGCUGAUUCGGAAGGACAUGGUGGACCCUGUGACUGGAGACAAACUCACAGACCGCGACAUCAUCGUGCUGCAGCGGGGCGGUACCGGCUUCGCCGGCUCCGGAGUGAAGCUGCAAGCGGAGAAAUCGCGGCCAGUGAUGCAGGCCUGAGUGUGUGCGGGAGACCAAAUAAACCGGCUUGGG
rnacentral:sRNA from 1 species